CCUGGUGCUUUUAGCGGCGGGGAAACACCUCUUUUCCAUUCCGAACAGAGAAGUUAAGCCCGCCAGCGGCGAUGAUACUUGUUCCGCAAGGAACUUGGAAAGUAGCUCAGUGCCAGGA
rnacentral:rRNA from 3 species